GGAAGAAUGGGAUGUGAUAGUUUUAUUAUAUAUUCAAAAGCGACAAAAUAAAGACAUGAACAAUUUAGUAAGGGUUAUUCUUUGUGCUCAAAUUUGUUUGAGGUUAGCACAGAAAGGGCCUUGUAAGGAACAUUAUAAUGGAUGCUGUUCCGGGACUGUAUGGAACAACUCACUGAACAAGUGCACAGUAUGCCAUCCUGGAUAUCAUGGAGAUAAUUGUUCUGAGUCGUGUGAAUAUCCAAGAUAUGGUAUGAUGUGUAUGAGCACGUGUAUCUGUGACAACAAUAGCUGUGAUAUAACGACAGGAUGCCACAUUGUUGGUUUGUAUUUAUUAUAUCAAUUGAAACACUUUGCAUAUCAUUAACAGG